UUCGCAAUGCCCGAAAGGGUGACGAAGCGACGCCGCGUGGGUGAGGAAGGCCUUCGGGUUGUAAAGCCCUGUCAGGAGUUAAGAAAUAUAAGUGCGCUAAUAUCGCAUUUAUUUGACGAAGGCUCCAAAGGAAGCCACGGCUAACUCUGUGCCAGCAGCCGCGGUAAUACAGAGGUGGCAGGCGUUGUUCGGAAUUAUUGGGCGUAAAGAGCACGUAGGUGGGUUUGUAAGUCAGAUGUGAAAGCCUUCUGUUCAACGGAAGAAUUGCAUCUGAAACUACAAGUCUUGAGUGUAGGAGGGGAGAAUGGAACUUCUGGUGGAGCGGUGAAGUGCGUAGAUAUCAGAAGGAACGCCGGCGGCGAAAGCGAUUCUCUGGCCUAUUGCUGACACUCAGUGUGCGAAAGCUAGGGGAGCAAACGGGAUUAGAUACCCCGGUAGUCCUAGCUGUAAACGAUGGGCACUAAGUAGAGGGGUUUU
rnacentral:rRNA from 1 species